GGAACUGUGAAAGUGUGUUGAUUAGCCAUCGCUGUGGGGCAGCUAAUUCUGACACCCGACCACACGCCACAACCAGCACUGAAGAGGCAGCAGCCGGAAAAAGACACAAGAGAGGGAGGACAAGAUGAAUGCAGGAUGGGUAAACAAAUUCAGCGUUUAUGAGAAUGUAAAGAAAGUCCCCAAAGCUGCGCACACUCACAUAUGUGCGAAGACACAAGCACAGUAUGAGCGAGGAGUUUUGCCUUGGAGACCAAUUUACAGCUGGUGCAUAAACAUUCAGCUAGCAGCUUUCCACUGACGGUAACCCCCUGCAGGGCACACAGGAUGUGUUUGUGUUCACCAAGCAUCAUCGUGACUUGUCACCGUGUCUAUCUUUUUUCAGUGCAUAAUCCCAGCUCAACAGAAAACAGUGACGCUUUGAAGAAGUGGAGAGAAGAAUCUUUCUGCCAACGUGCACAAACACACAAACAGUG